rnacentral:ribozyme from 1 species
CCAAAUUCAGAAAAACCCUAGAAUUAAAAAUGGGCAAUGCUGAGCCAAAUCUUUGGUUUGGCAAAACAAUGGUAUAAAAUUAAAAUAAAAAGGGAUAGGUGCAGAGACUCAAUGC